rnacentral:piRNA from 1 species
UGCGCAGGAAGACUGAGAUGAGGACC